GACGAACGCUGGCGGCGUGCUUAAUACAUGCAAGUCGAACGGAAAGGCCCUGCUUUUGUGGGGUGCUCGGGUGGCGAACGGGUAAGUAACCCGUAAGUAACCUGCCCUUGACUUUGGGAUAGCUUCAGCACACUGGGGCUAAUACCGAAUAGGCGCUCCUGCUGCAUGGUGGGGGUUGGAAAGUUUCGGCGGUUGGGGAUGGACUCGCGGCUUAUCAGCUUGUUGGUGGGGUAGUGGCUUACCAAGGCUUUGACGGGUAGCCGGCCUGAGAGGGGGACCGGCCAAAUUGGGACAGAGAUACGGCCCAGAGUCGUACGGGAGGCAGCAGUGGGGAAGAUUGCACGAUGGGCGGAAGCCUGAUGCAGCAACGCCGCGUGAGGGAUUAUGGCCUUCUGUUUGUAAACCGCUUUCGCCGGUGACUAAGCGUGUGUGACGGUAAUGGGUAAAGAAGGACCGGCUAACUACGUG
rnacentral:rRNA from 1 species